rnacentral:rRNA from 1 species
AAUCAACGCUGGCGGCGUGCCUAACACAUGCAAGUCGCACGAGAAAGGGUCUUCGGAUCUGAGUAAAGUGGCGCACGGGUGAGUAACACGUGACUAACCUACCCUCGAGUGGGGAAUAACUUCGGGAAACCGAGGCUAAUACCGCAUAACACUUACGAGUCAAAGCAGCAAUGCGCUUGGGGAGGGGGUCGCGGCAGAUUAGCUAGUUGGCGGGGUAAUGGCCCACCAAGGCGAUGAUCUGUAUCCGGCCUGAGAGGGCGCACGGACACACUGGAACUGAAACACGGUCCAGACUCCUACGGGAGGCAGCAGUGGGGAAUUUUGCGCAAUGGGGGAAACCCUGACGCAGCAACGCCGCGUGGAGGAUGAAGUCUCUUGGGACGUAAACUCCUUUCGAUAGGGAAGAUUAUGACGGUACCUAUAGAAGAAGCCCCGGCUAACUUCGUGC